rnacentral:rRNA from 1 species
ACGUAGGCUCCAAGCGUUGUCCGGAUUUAUUGGGCGUAAAGAGCUCGUAGGCGGUUGAGUAAGUCGGGUGUGAAAACUCUGGGCUUAACCCGGAGACGCCAUCCGAUACUGCUCUGACUAGAGUUCAGGAGGGGAGUGGGGAAUUCCUAGUGUAGCGGUGAAAUGCGCAGAUAUUAGGAGGAACACCGGUGGCGAAGGCGCCACUCUGGACUGAAACUGACGCUGAGGAGCGAAAGCAUGGGUAGCAAACAGGAUUAGAUACCCUGGUAGUCCAUGCCGUAAACGGUGGGCACUAGGUGUGGGUUCCAACUAACGGGAUCCGCGCCGUCGCUAACGCAUUAAGUGCCCCGCCUGGGGAGUACGGUCGCAAGACUA